CCUACGGGAGGCAGCAGUGAGGAAUAUUGGUCAAUGGACGGAAGUCUGAACCAGCCAUGCCGCGUGCAGGAAGAAGGCUCUGUGAGUUGUAAACUGCUUUUGUCCAAGGGUAAACCUGAAUACGUGUAUUCGGCUGAAAGUACUGUACGAAUAAGGAUCGGCUAACUCCGUGCCAGCAGCCGCGGUAAUACGGAGGAUCCAAGCGUUAUCCGGAUUUAUUGGGUUUAAAGGGUGCGUAGGCGGAUUGAUAAGUUAGAGGUGAAAUGUCCGAGCUUAACUCGGGAACUGCCUCUAAUACUGUUGAUCUAGAGAGUAGAUGCGGUAGGCGGAAUGUAUGGUGUAGCGGUGAAAUGCUUAGAGAUCAUACAGAACACCGAUUGCGAAGGCAGCUUACCAAUCUAUAUCUGACGUUGAGGCACGAAAGCGUGGGGAGCAAACAGGAUUAGAUACCCUAGUAGUC
rnacentral:rRNA from 1 species